rnacentral:rRNA from 1 species
AUUGAACGCUGGUGGCAGGCUUAACACAUGCAAGUCGAGCGGAGCGAGGGUGCUUGCACCUUAGCUUAGCGGCGGACGGGUGAGUAAUGCUUAGGAAUCUGCCUAUUAGUGGGGGACAACAUUCCGAAAGGAAUGCUAAUACCGCAUACGCCCUACGGGGGAAAGCAGGGGAUCUUCGGACCUUGCGCUAAUAGAUGAGCCUAAGUCGGAUUAGCUAGUUGGUGGGGUAAAGGCCUACCAAGGCGACGAUCUGUAGCGGGUCUGAGAGGAUGAUCCGCCACACUGGGACUGAGACACGGCCCAGACUCCUACGGGAGGCAGCAGUGGGGAAUAUUGGACAAUGGUCGGAAGCCUGAUCUAGCCAUGCCGCGUGUGUGAAGAAGGCCUUUUGGUUGUAAAGCACUUUAAGCGAGGAGGAGGCUACCUGGAUUAAUACUCUAGGAUAGUGGACGUUACUCGCAGAAUAAGCACCGGCUAACUCUGUGCCAGCCGCCGCGGUAAAAC